rnacentral:rRNA from 1 species
AUUGAACGCUGGCGGCAUGCCUUACACAUGCAAGUCGAACGGUAACAGGUCUUCGGAUGCUGACGAGUGGCGAACGGGUGAGUAAUGCAUCGGAACGUGCCCAGUAGAGGGGGAUAGCCCGGCGAAAGCUGGAUUAAUACCGCAUACGACCUGAGGGUGAAAGGGGGGGAUCGCAAGACCUCUCGCUAUUGGAGCGGCCGAUGUCAGAUUAGCUAGUUGGUGGGGUAAAGGCGUACCAAGGUAACGAUCUGUAGUUGGUCUGAGAGGACGACCAGCCACACUGGGACUGGGACACGGCCGAGACUCCUACGGGAGGCAGCAGUGGGGAAUUUUGGACAAUGGGCGCAAGCCUGAUCCAGCAAUGCCGCGGGCAGGAAGAAGGCCUUCGGGUUGUAAACUGCUUUUGUCAGGGAAGAAAUCUUCUGGGUUAAUACCUCGGGAGGAUGACGGUACCUGAAGAAUAAGCACCGGCUAACUACGUGCCAGCCGCCGCAGUAACAC